AGAUUAGUGGCGGACGGGUGAGUAACGCGUGAGUAACCUGCCUUGUACAAGGGGAUAGCCGUUGGAAACGACGAAUAAUACCCUAUAACAUCAAAUAAUCGCAUGAUAAUUUGAUCAAAGAUUUAUCGGUAUAAGAUGGACUCGCGUCUGAUUAGCUAGUUGGUAGAGUAAAAGCCUACCAAGGCAACGAUCAGUAGCCGGCUUGAGAGAGUGUACGGCCACAUUGGGACUGAGACACGGCCCAGACUCC
rnacentral:rRNA from 1 species